rnacentral:rRNA from 1 species
UUGGAGGGCAAGUCUGGUGCCAGCAGCCGCGGUAAUUCCAGCUCCAAUAGCGUAUAUUAAAGUUGUUGCAGUUAAAAAGCUCGUAGUUGAAUUUCGGGAUUGACGUAAUGGUCGUGCCUUAAGGGGUAUGAACUGUUACUGUUGAUUUCUCACCUUCUGGAGAAACUUGAUGUCCUUAAUUGGGUGUCUUGCGGAUCCAGGACCUUUACCUUGAAAAAAUUAGAGUGUUUAAAGCAGGCAUUUUUGCUCGAAUACAUUAGCAUGGAAUAAUAGAAUAGGACGGCAUGGUUCUAUUUUGUUGGUUUCUAGGAUCACCGUAAUGAUUAAUAGGGAUAGUUGGGGGCAUUAGUAUUCAAUUGUCAGAGGUGAAAUUCUUGGACUUAUUGAAGACUAACUACUGCGAAAGCAUUUGCCAAGGAUGUUUUCAUUAAUCAAGAACGAAAGUUAGGGGAUCGAAGACGAUCAGAUACCGUCGUAGUCUUAACCAUAAACUAUGCCGACUAGGAAUCAGACGAUGUUAAUUUUUUAAUGACUCGUUUGGCACCUUACGGGAAACCAAAGUGUUUGGGUUC